GUGGACACCCGAUGAAGCCGUCACCCGGCCGGAGGGGCUGCGGCCCGGACCCCGACGUCUCCCGGUCUCCCCGCCCAGGCCUCGCGAGACAGCCAGACAGAAGCGAAAGACGACCACGGAGAGAAAGUUCCGGGGACCCUGAGAAGGAGUUAAGGGAAGGGCGGAAGAGCGAAUCGCGCCCCAUCCAUCAACAGGCCCGCAGCCUCCCUAAUAAAAACAUUUUACUCCUAAA